CAGACUGAUAAUAGAAGUAUUACAAAUGAAAACAAUAAUAACAAACAAUGAAACUAUAAUAAAACAAGAACACAGAAAAUAUACAGAUCAUUUAAAUGGUUUCUGUACAUAAUUUUUAUCCACAGAAAUGGUCACCUUUAAUUCUUUGUCAGGUUAAAAGCAGUAAUUUGUGACCAAACCGUGUUACAAGUAAAACAUCUAAUGGUUUUAGUUUUGCUUUAUGAAGAUAUGAAGAGGUAAAAUCACAAAAAUACUGAGCUAAGAGGAAAAUCAAUUCGGAAAGUCCAUAAUCACAUGGCAAAAUCAAAUAACAAAACGCAUCAAAAACGAAUGGACAAGAACUGUCAUAUUCCUGACUUGGUACAGACAUUUUCAAAUGUAGAAAAUGGUGGAUUAAAC
rnacentral:lncRNA from 1 species